rnacentral:rRNA from 1 species
UGGGGAAUUUUGCGCAAUGGGGGAAACCCUGACGCAGCAACGCCGCGUGGAGGAUGAAGUCCCUUGGGACGUAAACUCCUUUCGAUCGGGACGAUUAUGACGGUACCGGAAGAAGAAGCCCCGGCUAACUUCGUGCCAGCAGCCGCGGUAAUACGAGGGGGGCAAGCGUUGUUCGGAAUUAUUGGGCGUAAAGGGAGUGUAGGCGGUUUGGUAAGUCUCGUGUGAAAUCUUCAGGCUCAACCUGAAGUCUGCACGAGAAACUGCCGGGCUUGAGUAUGGGAGAGGUGAGUGGAAUUCCUGGUGUAGCGGUGAAAUGCGUAGAUAUCAGGAGGAACACCUGUGGCGAAAGCGGCUCACUGGACCAUAACUGACGCUGAGACUCGAAAGCUAGGGGAGCAAACAGG